rnacentral:rRNA from 1 species
GUCCACGCCCUAAACGAUGUCUACUAGUUGUCGGGUUUAAUUAACUUGGUAACGCAGCUAACGCGUGAAGUAGACCGCCUGGGGAGUACGGUCGCAAGAUUAAACUCAAAGGAAUUGACGGGACCCGCACAAGCGGUGGAUGAUGUGGAUUAAUUCGAUGCAACGCGAAAACCUUACCUACCCUUGACAUGGAUGGAACCCUGAAGAGAUUUGGGGUGCUCGAAAGAGAACCAUUACACAGGUGCUGCAUGGCUGUCGU